UACGGAGGGUGCAAGCGUUAUCCGGAUUCACUGGGUUUAAAGGGUGCGUAGGCGGGUUGGUAAGUCCGUGGUGAAAUCUCCGAGCUUAACUCGGAAACUGCCGUGGAUACUAUCAAUCUUGAAUAUCGUGGAGGUAAGCGGAACAUGUCAUGUAGCGGUGAAAUGCUUAGAUAUGACAUAGAACACCAAUUGCGUAGGCAGCUUACUACACGAUCAUUGACGCUGAGGCACGAAAGCGUGGGGAGCAAACAGG
rnacentral:rRNA from 1 species